AUUGAACGCUGGCGGCAGGCCUAACACAUGCAAGUCGAGCGGAGCGGCGGACGGGUGAGUAAUGCCUAGGAAUCUGCCUGGUAGUGGGGGAUAACGUCCGGAACCGGGCGCUAAUACCGCAUACUAUCAGCUGAGCCUAGGUCGGAUUCGCUAGGUGGUGGGGUAAAGGCCUACCAAGGCGACGAUCCGUAACUGGUGUGAGCGGGUGAUCGGCCACACUGGGACUGGAACACGGCCCAGACUCCUACGGGAGGCAGCAGUGGGGAAUAUUGCACAAGGGGCGCAAGCCUGAUGCAGCCAUGCCGCGUGUAUGAAGAAGGCCUUCGGGUUGUAAAGUACUUUCAGCGGGGAGGCGUUAACCGCAGAAGAAGCACCGGCUAACUCCGUGCCAGCCGCCGCGGUAAUAC
rnacentral:rRNA from 1 species